GCCCGUGUCGUCUAGUGGUAGGAUACCCAUAUGCUGGUUCAAUUGAGCUGGCCGCUUUGGGAGACCCAGGUUCGAUUCCUGACGCGUGCC